AAGUCGUAACAAGGUUUCCGUAGGUGAACCUGCGGAAGGAUCAUCACCGAUUCAAUACCACAAUCAACGAGCUGCCCUGGGAUUCCUCAGGUAGUUUCGUCCAACUUGUGCACUGGUCUCUGUUUUAAAGUGGAGGAUGCUUGGUUUGCGAAAACAAGGCAAUGCCUCUCACACUUACUGUUAAACCACAAACAUGUCUAAUACAUCUAGCCUGAUUGUUGUAACAUAGCUAAUUAAUAGCAUCAAUACAACUUGCAGUGAUGGAUCUCUUGGCUCCG
rnacentral:misc_RNA from 1 species